rnacentral:snoRNA from 1 species
UGGCAAUCAGAAACCAGCUUUUUAGACCUUUUUCCAUGUCCAUAUCAGUUUGGAAAUGAUUGCAAAAAUAAAUGUGAUUUUUGUGCUAAAUAUGCAACUAAUAUGUGGGAUGCAAAUGUUUAGGCAUUGUUUCGACAGU